rnacentral:rRNA from 1 species
UACAGAGGGUGCAAGCGUUAAUCGGAAUUACUGGGCGUAAAGAGCGCGCAGGCGGUCGUUCAAGUCGAGUGUGAAAGCCCCCCGGCUCAACUGGGGAGGGUCACGCGAUACUGGUCGACUCGAAGGCAGGAGAGGGUAGUGGAAUUCCCGGUGUAGUGGUGAAAUGCGUAGAUAUCGGGAGGAACACCAGUGGCGAAGGCGACUACCUGGCCUGUUCUUGACGCUGAGGCGCGAAAGCUAGGGGAGCAAACGGG